rnacentral:rRNA from 1 species
CACCGCGGUUAUACGAGCGACCCAAGUUGUUAAUCCUCGGCGUAAAGGGUGGUUAGAGUACCCCAAAAAACUAAGGCCGAACACCUUCAGGGUAGUUAUACGCUUUCGAAGGCAUGAAGCACACCCACGAAAGUAGCCUUAUCCAACUUGAACCCACGAAAGCUAAGGUA